rnacentral:rRNA from 1 species
AGGAUGAACGCUGGCGGUAUGCCUUAUACAUGCAAGUCGUACGAGAGUUUUUAACUCAAGUGGCGGACGGGUGAGUAACACGUAAGAAUUUGCCUUUAGGAGGGGGAUAACAACUGGAAACGGUUGCUAAUACCCCAUAUGCUUUCGAGUGAAAUGGAUUUCCGCCUAAAGAGAAGCUUGCGGCUGAUUAGCUUGUUGGUGGGGUAAUGGCCUACCAAGGCGACGAUCAGUAUCUGGUUUGAGAGGACGAUCAGACACACUGGAACUGAGACACGGUCCAGACUCCUACGGGAGGCAGCAGUAGGGAAUUUUCCGCAAUGGGCGAAAGCCUGACGGAGCAAUACCGCGUGAGGGAUGACUGCCUAUGGGUUGUAAACCUCUUUUUUCAGGGAGGAACAAAAUGACGUGUACCUGAAGAAUAAGCAUCGGCUAACUCCGUGCCAGCAGCCGCGGUAAGACGGAGGAUGCAAGUGUUAUCCGGAAUCACUGGGCGUAAAGCGUCUGUAGGUGGCUUGAUAAGUCAACUGUUAAAUCUUGAAGCUCAACUUCAAAAUCGCAGUCGAAACUAUCAGACUAGAGUAUAGUAGAGGUAAAGGGAAUUUCCAGUGGAGCGGUGAAAUGCGUAGAGAUUGGAAAGAACACCGAUGGCGAAGGCACUUUACUGGGCUAUUACUGACACUCAGAGACGAAAGCUAGGGUAGCAAAUGGGAUUAGAUACCCCAGUAGUCCUAGCCGUAAACAAUGGAUACUAGGUGUUGAACAGAUCGACCUGUGCAGUACUAAAGCUAACGCGUUAAGUAUCCCGCCUGGGAAGUAUGCUCGCAAGAGUGAAACUCAA